rnacentral:lncRNA from 1 species
CGCGCUCCCAGCCCCUGGGUCCUACUGCCCCCUUCGCCAGGCUGGCUGCGGGGCACCUGGGAGCCCCCACCGGGACCAGCCAGUCCUAACGAGCACGGGCAUCUGUUGGCUCCGCAGAGACUCGGGAUCCUGGCUGUCCUGGAGAUGCACGCCUGGAUCCUGGGGAGUGAAUGAAUCCCAGCCCCCACAUACCAGCAAAUGAAUCCUCUGAGUCCCUGGCCUCAAUCUGUUCCUACCGCCCUGCACACAGGAACCUGCCUGGCUGGAAAUCCUGUAGGUCCAAGAGAUGUGGACAACAGGACAUAGAAAACCAUCUAGUCCAACUGCAUCCACAGAGAAGAAAACUAAGCCCCAGGUCACACAGCAGGUCAAAGGUGAAGAUGGGCAGGAUCUCAUAUCCUAAACCCCAAACCUCCUUCCCCCACACCACCCUCUACCUAAGCAGCCAGAGAAGCAGGCCUAGUUCUGCCAUUGACUACAGGAACAGC